rnacentral:misc_RNA from 1 species
AAGUCGUAACAAGGUUUCCGUAGGUGAACCUGCGGAAGGAUCAUUAAUGAAACUUGGGAGAAUUGAUGCUAGACUUGUCUAUGCGCUUCUCCCUUAAUCCAUACACACCUGUGCACUUUGAAAGGAGAGAUUGGUUAACACCGGUUUGUCCUUUCCUACACAAACCCCCCUUUUUGUAAAAUGAAUGUUCAUUGGCCGAAAGGCUCUAAAAAAUACAACUUUUAACAACGGAUCUCUUGGCUCUC